UUUGCUUCACAAAAAGUAAAUUUUAUCAUCAUCAGGCCGGACUGGCCAUUGGGCAUACCGGGCAAAUGCCCGGUGGGCCGCGAUGGCCGUGGGGCCAAGGCCGGCAGGGGAUCUCCUCAGCCGGCCCCUGCAGGGCCAGCGCUAUCCGAGCGCCGGCCCUGCUGUGGGCCGGUGGGGAGAUCUCCCUCACCGGCCCAGAGGCAUGGAGAUGCGGCCGCCGGCUGGGGAGGGAGGCAGGGAGGAGAGAGGACCGGCGGAGCUCUAACAAGCAGCUCCGCCAGGUCCUCUCGCGGGAUUCUGAGCAUUGCCGCGGUUACCACAGAAACGCUCAGAUCUCGCGAGAGUGAACUCUAACCUGCAGGUUAGAGUUCACUCUCACCACUGGGCCACCAGGGAAGG